GCGUUACCAGCCGUCUUGUCUGUUGGGCCGAGGUCCCCCUUCAGGGGCGCCCUCUGGUGCGUCUUUUUCACUCAGUGUCCUUUUGGGGGGUCCCCGGGCCGUGUGGUGCGUGCUGGCUCGGCUCAGUAGCGCUGUUACAGGCUUACGAGCUGACGUGGCUGGGAACUGGGAAGUCUGUUAGAAGCCGUUCCUCUGUAGCCUCUGUUUUCUAAACUACUUGCAAGCCCUCAGGCGAUCACUUGAGGCACAAGCUCGACGAAUUGCGUAGGGGUCUGUAAUUAUUCACAAACGACACCACGACUUCUAGCACACUGCUCAAUUUAUGGAAUGAGAGACAGGGAGAAGAUGCCAGAGUACUGGAGUUGCGCCCGGCUUCCCUGGAGUUGCCACCACCUUGGUUAUUUCUAGAUGAUAGACCGUCCCUAGCUGUGGAGUCACAAGUAGUUGAAUUAAUUAGUCAUUGAAGGUCGCAGCCAGGUGGAACCCCUGUAACUCUAAGGUAUUAUUGGUUAAAUAAACAAAUAAACAAGGAACAAUAAUUAUAGAAAAUUUAACGUCACUAACCGCCGAUUAGCAAUACGGACAUUACUCACCACCCCCUUAAAGUAGUAUUUUGUCAUCUGUCCGCUUAACUAUCAGCCCAACUGUCAGCCCAAUAGGAUGGAUUUCACUCAAGGGUUUAUAUGAAAAUUCGUUUUUAUUGUUGUUGGUUUUUUUAUUGUCUUUUUUGGUUUAGAUUUAAGUGAAAAUUUAUAGCUGUUAGGAACAAAGACCACAAGUUGAAGUUUUAUGACAUUUCUAAAAAUACUUAGAAAUCUGUGUUAAUGUUAUCGUUGAGAAAGGAAACGAUUUGCUUCAAUUUACUGGGCUGGAGAAUGGAAGAGAGCAGUGUUUUUAAUAUUUUGAGCAAGUAUCAGUCCUUAAAUUUUUUUAUUGCUUCCAUGAUGCAUUUUGAGAAUUUUCAAUUUAAAACAACCAUUAGGUGUAUGUUUUUACAAGUAGAGUUUUGAAGAAUGCUAGCAAAAUUGGUUGAGGCAUCACAAGUUAUUAGAAAUAAAGUGGUAACCUGGUUUUUAAUUUGAAGGUGUAGAAAUAUUUUUGAAUCUUCGUUCACAAUUUAAAAUAAUUUAAGAAUUGUUGAAAAGGCAGGGGACAUCAUUUUUAUCUUUUCUUUCUGAGUAAGUAAAGAUAAAAUGUCAUAAAUCAGUAUUUUGAAGUUUAUCUGGUGAGAGAGUCAAUUUUUGUUUCACAGUGCACACUACACAGUGGGUUUAUUAACAUAUAAUGGGUUUAUUAAGAAAUGUAUUUGCUUAACCAGGAUGUACAAAUUUUAUUAUUUUAGUCAAGUAAAACAUCUUAGUUUUUCUUUUUGGGUUGUAGAACCCCUGCUAGAUUAUGACAAAAUAUAAUCCGUAUAGUCAUUGGAUUUAGCUGCAAAUGGUCACUUUCCACCCUGUAUCUGCUUCAAUUAACUUUCUCAAAUAAAAUAAAUUGUUAGAGAAAACUUGUUACACAGUUCAUAUAUAAUCAUGUAUUAAAGGUUUAUUAUCAGGGAAAGACCUCUGAUAAGUUAAUUAAAAGAUACAGUCUUGAUAAGGACAUUUUAUAGGAAAAGAGAAUGGUUAGAUAAUUGUUAAGCUCUAAGAAAGAAAAGAAUUUAGGGGUCCUGAAUGAUAAUCUUAACUGAUAGCCAACUAGUUCAGUGAGUGGUUGGUUUUCCAGAGCAUCUUGAUUCCAUUGAAAUUUAUUGGAACUUUGCUUAGGGAUUUUUUUCAGGAAUUUUCAUAUUUUCCCAAGAGGGAGUUGUGAAUUACAUCAUCUAAAAAGCUGUGUCCAAGGCCAAGUUUGGGACAGUUUCUUUUCUUUUAAACCAUUACAUUUUUUGUAGCUACAAAUUUAAUCUGAAAUUUUCAAAACAAGUCACUGCUUUAAAAAUAUAUAUAUAUUUUUUAGAAUGGCUGUUUUGGACUGAAUUGAACACUCUUGACACCAGGCACUUUAAAAAUUGUCCUGUCUACAUGUUGUCGCUCAUUAUAUAAAAAAUA
rnacentral:lncRNA from 10 species